AGGGCUGUAGCACACUCGACUCAUAAUCCGUAGGUCGUGGGUUCAAGUCCCACCCGCCCUACCA
rnacentral:tRNA from 1 species